CAGAAAUCUACCCAGGUCCCCACCAGUGGACCCCGUCAGACCUGGCUGUCUUCACAGGGUCUCACUGGCUAGCAUGGCACUCAUAGAGAUGGCCUGCCUUCACCUCCAGAGUCCUGGGACUGAAAGAGGACAUCACCAUACCCUGCCUUGACACAGAUUUCAAGCGUUAAGAAACAGAC